UUUCUACAGGCUUAACACAUGCAAGUCGAGGGGCAGCAUGGUCUUAGCUUGCUAAGGCCGAUGGCGACCGGCGCACGGGUGAGUAACACGUAUCCAACCUGCCGUCUACUCUUGGACAGCCUUCUGAAAGGAAGAUUAAUACAAGAUGGCAUCAUGAGUCCGCAUGUUCACAUGAUUAAAGGUAUUCCGGUAGACGAUGGGGAUGCGUUCCAUUAGAUAGUAGGCGGGGUAACGGCCCACCUAGUCUUCGAUGGAUAGGGGUUCUGAGAGGAAGGUCCCCCACAUUGGAACUGAGACACGGUCCAAACUCCUACGGGAGGCAGCAGUGAGGAAUAUUGGUCAAUGGGCGAGAGCCUGAACCAGCCAAGUAGCGUGAAGGAUGACUGCCCUAUGGGUUGUAAACUUCUUUUAUAAAGGAAUAAAGUCGGGUAUGGAUACCCGUUUGCAUGUACUUUAUGAAUAAGGAUCGGCUAACUCCGUGCCAGCAGCCGCGGUAAUACGGAGGAUCCGAGCGUUAUCCGGAUUUAUUGGGUUUAAAGGGAGCGUAGAUGGAUGUUUAAGUCAGUUGUGAAAGUUUGCGGCUCAACCGUAAAAUUGCAGUUGAUACUGGAUAUCUUGAGUGCAGUUGAGGCAGGCGGAAUUCGUGGCGUAGCGGUGAAAUGCUUAGAUAUCACGAAGAACUCCGAUUGCGAAGGCAGCCUGCUAAGCUGCAACUGACAUUGAGGCUCGAAAGUGUGGGUAUCAAACAGGAUUAGAUACCCUGGUAGUCCACACGGUAAACGAUGAAUACUCGCUGUUUGCGAUAUACAGCAAGCGGCCAAGCGAAAGCGUUAAGUAUUCCACCUGGGGAGUACGCCGGCAACGGUGAAACUCAAAGGAAUUGACGGGGGCCCGCACAAGCGGAGGAACAUGUGGUUUAAUUCGAUGAUACGCGAGGAACCUUACCCGGGCUUAAAUUGCAGAUGAAUUACGGUGAAAGCCGUAAGCCGCAAGGCAUCUGUGAAGGUGCUGCAUGGUUGUCGUCAGCUCGUGCCGUGAGGUGUCGGCUUAAGUGCCAUAACGAGCGCAACCCUUGUUGUCAGUUACUAACAGGUUCCGCUGAGGACUCUGACAAGACUGCCAUCGUAAGAUGUGAGGAAGGUGGGGAUGACGUCAAAUCAGCACGGCCCUUACGUCCGGGGCUACACACGUGUUACAAUGGGGGGUACAGAGGGCCGCUACCACGCGAGUGGAUGCCAAUCCCAAAAACCUCUCUCAGUUCGGACUGGAGUCUGCAACCCGACUCCACGAAGCUGGAUUCGCUAGUAAUCGCGCAUCAGCCACGGCGCGGUGAAUACGUUCCCGGGCCUUGUACACACCGCCCGUCAAGCCAUGGGAGCCGGGGGUACCUGAAGUGCGUAACCGCGAGGAGCGCCCUAGGGUAAAACUGGUGACUG
rnacentral:rRNA from 1 species